UUGCAAUGAUGACUCCUUAGGACACCUUUGGAUUUCCCAUGAAAAGAAUAUUCAAUGCUGAGCAAC